CUCUCGUUCCCCUUGGCUUCCUCUUCGUUUUCGAUCUUUUCAUCCCCGAUAGAAUUCCUUGGCUUCGUGCUUCGUUUUCAUUCUCUUCGACUUCACCUGGACUUCAAUUAGGGCAAAAUAUCCAAGCACAUUUGUUGUCCCAGCAAUGAGAGGAAGAUUAUUUCGGGAUCGUUGCAGUAUCUACGUUCGGAAACGAACAUUUGGAACGGAGAUAACAAAAAUUGUAGCUGAACGUUGAUUUUGGGUUCAAUCUCAGGAGGAAGCGAAGAUUUGAGUUAUCUCAAAGAUUUUCAAGUUGGAUAAAACAUUCCUCGUCCAAGUCCUUCAAUCUAUUUCCUCCCAGAUCUAAUUCUCUCAAGUUCAAUAAUCUAUUUCCU